rnacentral:rRNA from 1 species
CAGUAGCGUAUAUUUAAGUUGUUGCAGUUAAAAAGCUCGUAGUUGGAUUUCUGAUAUGAUGCGCCUUGCCCGCUUGGUCUAUUUUCAAUGGCCUUGCGAGUGCCGGUGCGCGUCUAUCAUCCUUCCGGAGAUGCAUAUCUACCAUUCACUUGGCCGGGUAUGCAAUCUGGAUCGUUUACUUUGAAAAAAUUAGAGUGUUCAAAGCAGGCUUGAUAUGCCGUGAAUACAUUAGCAUGGAAUAAUAAGAUAGGACUUCGGUUCUAUUUUGUUGGUUUCUAGGACUGAAGUAAUGAUUGAUAGGGAUAGUUGGGGGUGCUAGUAUUCAACGGCCAGAGGUGAAAUUCUUGGAUUCGUUGAAGACUAACUUAUGCGAAAGCAUUCACCAAGGAUGUCUUCUUUAA